GGGGCCCCUGAGGUGUGCAGAGGGUCGCGCACCUAGAAGCCUGUCGCUGGCGCGGUCUGGGCGGGAGGUUCUGCGGCGGGAGGCAGCCUGUUGGUUGCAGGGCUGAAAAAGCAGUUCUACAAGGCAAGCCAGCUGGUCAGUGAGAAGGUCGGAGGGUCUGAGGGGACCAAGCUGGACAAUGACUUCAAAGAGAUGGAGAUGUCAUCAGCAAGGCGGUGAUGGAAAUGCUGGCAAGGACCAUCAAGUACCUGGAGCCCAACCCAGCCUCACAGGCUAAGCUGACCAUGCUCAACACAGUGUGAAAGAUCCAGGGCCAGGUGAAGAACCCCGGCUACCCGCAGUCGGAGGGGCUCCUGAGCGAGUGCCUGAUCCGCCACCAGAAGGAGCUGGGCAACGAGUCCAACUUCAGUGAUGCACUGCUGGAUGCCGGCGAGUCCAUGAAGCACCUGGCAGAGGUGAAGGACUCCCUGGACAUAGAGGUCAAGCAGAACUUCAUUGACCUCCUCCAGAACCUGUGUGAGAAAGACCUGAAGGGGAUCCAGCACCACCUGCAGAAGCUAGAGGGCCGCCGCCUGGACUUUGACUAAAAGAAGCGGCAGGGCAAGAUCCCCGAUGAGGAGCUGCGCCAGGCGCUGGAGAAGUUUGAGGACUCCAAGGAGGUAGCAGAAACCAGCAUGCACAACCUCCUGGAGACCGACAUUGAGCAGAUGAGUCAACUCCGGGCCCUGGCGGAGGCGCAGCUGAACGACCACUGGCAGGCCAUGCAGAUCCUGGACGAGCUGGCAGAGAAGCUCAAGCGCAGGAUGCGGGAAGCUUCCUCACGCCCCAAGCGGGAGUAUAAGCCCAAGUUCUGGGAGCCCUUUGACCUCGGAGAGCCUGAGCAGUCCAACGGGGGCUUCCCCUGCACCACAGUCCCCAAGAUCGCAGCUUCAUCCCCUUUCCAAUCUUCCAACAAGUCCAUCUGUACUCCUAGCAGGAGCAUGCCGCCCCUAGACCAGCCAAGCUGCAAGGUGCUGUAUGACUUCCAGCCUGAGAACCAUGGGGAGCUGGGCUUCCAUGAGGGCGACGUCUUCACGCUCAUCAACCAGAUCAACGAGAACUGGUACCAGGGCAUGCUGGACGGCCAGUUGGGCUUCUUCCUGCUCAGCUACAUGGACGUGCUCAUGCCUCUGCCCAGUGACUCACUGGUGCCCCCGCCCCACCCCUCCAUCCACACUGGGUGGCACCCCCUGCCAGGUCUCCUGCCUUCCAUGGGCUCCUGCUGCCAGGGCGGUGUCCAAGCCUUCUGGCGCCACCCAGGCCCGGGCCCUUGAGGUACUCCCUCAGCAGGGAGCCACACUUGGGUGGGAGGCUUAUCGGGGUGGGUGGGGACGCUUGUUUACACUAGCGCUUACCCCUAACGGUGACGGCUCCCUUCCUCACUCCAUGGCGCCGGCCUUCUUCCCGCUCCCCAACUCCUCACCCAGCUGGCCCAGACGGGGCAACACUAAGGUGCUCUCAGAAACACUAAUAUUCCUCCAGGGCAGCCCCCACCUCCAUCCUGACCCCAUGGGGGCCCAGCCCACAGCUUACCCUCGAGUUCCACGGCCUUAACAGGCUUGGAUCGAGUGUCCCUGUGGGGUGGCUCAGAGACAGGACCCUGGUUUUAAAUCCCCCCACAAGCCUGCUCCUGGCGAUGAACCCUAGCCCCACUCCAGGGCCACAGUACCCCAGCCUCACACAUGCACUCCUUCUCCCCAAGGCCAGGGCAGAGGGCCUCACUGUUUCCCUGGCCUGCUGUCAGCUUGCAACCAGGAGACAGAGGCCAGCUGGGAUCUGCCCCACCUUCCCCCCCAUACUGCUCCCCUCAACCAGGACAGAGAACAUGGCCUCCUCUAGGGCCCUGCCUCCCAAGCCUUACCCUCACACACCAAGUACCUUUUCAGCUUUUUAACUGCCCCCAGCCAGGCCCACGGAAGCCUGUGUCACUCUGGCACAAGCUGCCACCACCAGCCACCUACACACCCCCCCAGCACACCUCGCACGGGACCACAGCCCCAGCUGUGCUGCUAAGGGCCAAGCACAAAGGCUCCAGUGAGCAAAUGUUCAAGCCCCUGGUAGCCAGGCCUCCCCUUGCCGAGCCGCUGCCAACCCACCCUGUGGGAAGUGGCCCCAGCCAUCUCCUCUAGACCACGGCAGGCAGCCCCGGGGUCCCCAGACCCCUGUCCAGGCCAGCAUGUCUGCAGCCCCGACAUCUGCUUCCUCUGUCGCCCAAUCCAAAAUCGACGAAAUGGAGGGUCCUCUGGGCUGGGCCACAUUCACAUUCCCCUCCCCCUGAGGCCCAGCGAAGCCUCCGGACCCCAGGCUCUGCUCUGCACCCUCGUGGUCGGCAGUACAUGAAGGGCACAGACACCCUGGCAGAGAUGAGCACACAGCCUUGGGCACGGUUCAGGGCAAACUGAAAUGUAUGCCCGAAUUUUGUAAACAGAAGUAUUAAAGGUCUUUCUACAAAAAAAAAAAAAAAAAA